rnacentral:rRNA from 1 species
UACAGAGGGUGCGAGCGUGUCGGAUCGACUGGGCGUAAAGGGCGCGUAGGUGGCGACCCAAGUCGAUGGUGAAAGCUCGUCGCUCAACGACGAGUCGGCCACCGAUACUGGGUUGCUCGAGCACUGUAGAGGCAGAUGGAAUUCCGGGUGUAGCGGUGGAAUGCGUAGAGAUCCGGAAGAACACCAGUGGCGAAGGCGGCUCACUGGCCCGAUACUGACGCUGAGGUGCGAAAGCGUGGGGAGCAAACAGGG